UACGUAGGGUGCAAGCGUUGUCCGGAAUUAUUGGGCGUAAAGCGCGCGUAGGCGGCUUUGCAAGUCGGGUGUGAAAUCCCCAGGCUUAACCUGGGAACUGCAUUCGAGACUGCAUUGCUGGAGUAUGGGAGAGGGAAGUGGAAUUUCCGGUGUAGCGGUGAAAUGCGUAGAUAUCAGGAAGAACACCCGUGGCGAAGGCGGCUCUCUGGGACGGUACUGACGCUGAGACGCGAAAGCGUGGGGAGCGAACAGG
rnacentral:rRNA from 1 species